rnacentral:tRNA from 1 species
UGUGAUAACUCAAUUGGUAGAGUGCUACACUUUUAAUGUAGAUUUUACAGACUUAAAAUCUGUAUUGCAG